CACCCAGGACGGUGGAUCACUCGGCUCGUGGGUCGAUGAAGAACGCAGCAAAUUGCGCGGCGACAUGUGAACUGCAGGACACAUGAACAUCGACGUUUCGAACGCACAUUGCGGUCCAUGGAUUCCGUUCCCGGGCCACGUCUGGCUGAGGGUCG
rnacentral:rRNA from 1 species